UUAAACUUUUUUUUCAAAACUUAGUGUAAUUAUUUUUUUUCUAUUAAUAUAGAAACUAUUUUAUUUUUCCCGUAAACUUCUAAAAAAAAAAGACUUCUCUCUCUGAACGAAGUAUAGUAGAUCUUCUCCACCUGGUCUCCUCCAUACCAUACCGAUGGUGACUUCGCCGCCGACCUAAUCGCCAGAAAAUUUAUAUAUCGUUGACUCUUCUGGUUGUCUUCUUGCUCUCAAAUCUAUCUCCUUCUUCAUCUAGUUUUGUUUCUUUCUCAUCGUCUAGGUUUGUUUCAUUAUUAUUGUUGUAAAUGUCAACCGAUCACGAAUUUAUGUUUAUUUCUCAAUGCAUACCUAACGUUUCUUCUAAUUUAAUGCCAUAUAUGUAUAUAUAUAUAUAUGUUCUUUUGUUUGUCAGAUAUAAAUGGUUGUUAGUUUUAGGGUACUUUCGUUUGUUGAUUUUUUGGUUUGUUUGUUUAUCAAGUUGAAGAAGAGAGUAUGUGUGUAUGAUCGAUAUGUUAUUUUUUUAAAGAUCUCAGUCUCCAAGCUAUUGAUGAUUGUAUACAGCUUUUGCUUUUUAUGCACUAAUUUUAUUUUAUAGGAAUUUGGCAAAUGUUGAGGGGAAGAUAUUACGUUACUGCAAUCUUCCAAAUUAAUUUGAAUAAAAGAACAGAAAAUCUAAUUUUCUUAGAGAAGAACCGCGCUCUUUGGUAUGGAAUUUGAUUUGAAAUUUUAAAACAUGAUAUUCAAUUUAGUUUCAUUGCUUUGUGCUCUUGAUUUCUCAUUAUGGGUAAGCAUAUUGUUUUGGAUAAAUUUGUGUUUGUUUUCUACUUGGUGGUAUGAAUUGUUGUGUACUGGUUAAUUAAGCAAUGAGUAGGAUUUGGGGGUUUAAUUUCUACUUAAUUAAUUAAACAUAAGUCGUGAUUUGGGGUAUCUUAUCACAAUUUUGACGAAUUGAAUUUCUAAGAGAAUUCCUCUCAAUUUCGUAUACUAAACAGUAUUGGAAAAAGAAAUAUUAUUUGACUAAUGUAAUUUUGUUAUCAUUAUUGUUCUAAGUCCACAUUAUUAUCAUGCAAGAAUGCGAUAUUGAGUAAGAUAAGCAUAGCCAAAUAAUAAACACAAAUUCACCAUGUUCUGUAGAGUAGUGUAACUUUAGAGCAUCUGAACUAAACACUGAGAUUGAAUUAGUAUAGGCAUUUGAUAAUAUUAUUCAUUUACAUUAUUAUCUUUUAACUAUGAAAAUAAUAUUGGUAGACAGACAUGUGGAGAAUUAGUAAAUUAGGGGUGUUAUCGUGUUAGGCUAAUUGCAAAAAAUACAAGUAAAAAGUAAUUGUGUUAUUCUAUUAUUACAAAUUAGUUGUCUCUCUUUCUCCUUUCCACUACGAUCUAGAUUUCUCUCUUUUCUUCAUGAUCCUUCACUUAGUCAUCUCUAUGGUCCUCUCUCUUCCUUUCUCUACUUUGGGGCCGAUUAUGAAUUAUUUUGGUCGUCCAACUAGUUAUGGUGAUUGUCUUUAUAACAAAGUGGAUGAGCACAAAGUGGAUGAGAAUUUCUGCUUUCGCCUACUCUGCUUUCUGGUAUUGUUUUUAACUCUGUUGCUGGUGUAGUUUAAAUCUAUUAUUCUUACCACAGCUUUUGUAGAUUCGCUUCCUUUUUGCAUGCUCAUCUAAACAAGACUCUACAGAUUUCUCUUUAAUUGUAUCCUAGAGAUCACGCAAAUAUUGAUGGAUUCUUUCCAUUUGUUCCAAAUAGAUUAUAUGGUAAACAAGCCUAGGCAUGGGUUGACUGAGAGCUCUCAACAAACAGAAGCUGGCAAUGAGAGACGACUCUGCACUAGAUGAGCAAAUGUUGUUGAUCCCAAGGUCUUCUUGAUUGUAGAAUAGGUUGGUCUUCUUAACAUUUUGACAGCAGACAAAAAUUUGAGGGACUCUUACCGUUGAUUUGAAUAAGCCUCUAGUCUUUCAGGUCAGUUCUCAUUUCUAUUUUCCAUGCUAUGGAAUUAUUAUCUAAUAUCUUUAUGCUUUAUUCUCACAUGGAUGCUUGGCAGCAGACAUGGACCCUUUUUCUUCCCUAUACAUUAACAUUAAUUCUAAGACAGAUUGGUUGAGAUUAGUGCUUAUUUCGCAGCAAGUGUUCGGACCGUGUUAGAGCAUAGAAACUUGGUGUGCCCUUUGUAAUUUCUCUGUCCAUGCAUAUGCCUGUGUCCAUGUCUCUGUCUCUGUCUUCUUUUUCUCUUUGUAAUUUCUGUUAAAAAAAAUUUGAUUUGCUACAGAUUAUAUUUCCUUGAUAUUUUCCAUCUUUUUAAAUUAGACAGAUCAGAGUGUGAUAUAUGUGAUUUUUGCUGCCUUGAGCUUAUUUUUCAUCUUUGUGUGAAUCAAUAUGAAAAUGAUCUAGUUGGCUUGCUUUAGUAGUAUAAAUCAUGUAUGAAUUUAAUAUUUUUGUCCUUUAAUAUUUAUAUGCUUUAAUAUGGUUGUUGUUUCAUUUCAGACCAAGAUACAUAUAGAUAGAAUCAAAUGGAAGGCCACGAUACACUUUUCGGGCUUGGCAAUAGGCUUUCACAUUAAAUGGAAAGAACAAAGCAUCCUAAUAUUCGUAAAUUUUGUUGUUGGCUUUUUAAGUGAAACAUGGAAGUUUUUUCAAAUUUUAACUAAAUCUUUUAGCUAGAAGUUUAUUUUGAUGACUUUGAUUCUCUAAACUUUACUUUUUGAAAGUUGUUCACUUCUUAAGUGAAAUAUGUAUUUAGACCGAGUUACCUAAUAUGAUCAUAUUGAUAUUUUUGUGAAUCUAAUGUUUUUUUUCAUUAUUUUGUUAUCAAGCUACAAAUUUUUGUUUUCCUAAAAAUAACAACUAUAACAAAAAGUUAUCAUUAAUAUAAUAUAACACAAAAUGUUAUAAAAAGUAUCUAUAAUAACAUUUUUUAUAACUCUUAAAUAACGUCAUGAAAUAAGUUGAUUCUUGACAAAAUAUUUAUAAGCUUGAUAAAUUGAUACUGUAUUUAUUUUAUAACAAAGAAAAACAUACAAAGAAAAACUAUAAUACUAUUGAUAACACUUGACUUUUGAUAACAUGAGCUAUAUUAGCAUUUGGUAAAGUGUUAUAAACUUUUUUUGAUAGUACUUUUUCAGAGUUAUUCAUAAUGUUUUUUCUUGUAGUGUUUUCUUUUUUAAUAUGACUUUGACAAUAAUUACAAACAUGAUUAUUCCAUUUAUUUUAGGGUUUAUAUCAACAGUGGUCCCGAUUUUUUUUUUCUUCUAAAAAGUAUCACUUAGGUCUCCAAAUUUACUAAAUAUGUAUCAGGUCCUUUUAAUUAGAAAAAAGUUCACAGAAUCUACAAAAAAAAUUAAUUUAUGACCCUAUUAAUUACAAAAAAAUCAACUAGGUUAUAAAUUGCUUAUCAAUGGGUCAGAAAUCAUUUUUUGCUAUGCAUUCUAUAAAUAAUUUUUUAACUAAAAGGACCUAUGUAAUACAUUUAGUAAGUUUUGAGACCUAAGUAAGUUUGGAGACUUAAGUGAUACAAAAUAAAGUUUAGGGACCUCUAGUAAUAUAAACCCUUUAUAUAUAUAUAUAUAUAUAUAUAUAUGAGGGUUUUCAUCUUUUUUUUUUCUUUCCUUUUCAAAAUGGUUUUAAUUGUUGAUUUGUCCAUCAUCACAAGUAGUCUUUUUUAUUUAUUUAUUUACUUUCCUAAAAAAGGGAAAAAUUUUGAAAAAAAUAACAUUAAAGCAUAUAAUAUAGUAACUCUAUUGAAGCUGCUACAUCAGCACAGAUGAAGGAGUAUGUGUAGUUCUCAUGAUUUAGUAUGUUCUUUUGUCUUUGGCAUAGGAUGCUUGCAUGUGUUGCUAGUGUGGUUGGUAUACAGCUUAGUUGUAAUAAUAUGUUGCAUUUAUUCAAUUUCUUUUGCAUUCUGUACUUUAUUUAGGAUAUUUUGGUUUUAAUAGUGUGUUACAUGAUAUUAUUUUUUCUACGAUUGUUAUGUAAAUUGCAAGCAAGAGCUCUUAUUUCGAGAUUGACUGAGGAAAAGAGCAAUGCAGCUCUUAGCCUUGUGAAAGUAACAAGUAUAGGUGGGAUCAUCAUCAUCAACAUCAUGGUGUAUUAUUGUAGUUGCUGCUGGACUUUGCAAGUAGUAGUGUGUUGCGUUGUUAAGUUAUGGGGGACGAUUGUUCAUUUUGCUUCUUCUUUCCUCCAUCAUUCAACUAUGGAGGUACUGGUGACAGUAUCUCUUGUGACUCUUAAUAAAUUUAUACAUUUUCUGUGCUGCAAACUAGUAGCUUCAUCUGCUAAUAA